rnacentral:rRNA from 1 species
GUCCUAGCCGUAAACGAUGGGCACUAGGUGUGGGAGGUAUCGACCCCUUCCGUGCCGCAGCUAACGCAUUAAGUGCCCCGCCUGGGGAGUACGGCCGCAAGGUUGAAACUCAAAGGAAUUGACGGGGGCCCGCACAAGCGGUGGAGCAUGUGGUUUAAUUCGACGCAACGCGAAGAACCUUACCAGGGCUUGACAUCCCGCGAAUCCCUCCGAAAGGUGGGAGUGCCCGCAAGGGAGCGCGGAGACAGGUGGUGCAUGGCUGUCGU